UAUAUCAUUUAGGGAGCUACCAUUUGAUUUUUAUGGGGGGGCUAGGAUGAAAAAUUUUGUCCUGCAUUUUUUUUUAGCUGUAAUCUCUGUCCUGCCUUUUUAUUUUUCACUCUGUUCGGUCCUGCCUUUUUUAUUUUUUUGUUUAUCCUGACUUUUUUUUACCUAAAUUGUCGUCCUGGCUUUUUUUUUUGCAAGUGUCUCAUCCUGCCUUUUUUUUUUUACUCAAAACUGCUGUCCUGCCUAUUUUUUUCAAAUUUCAUCCUAGCCCCCCCC
rnacentral:lncRNA from 1 species